rnacentral:rRNA from 1 species
AACGAACGCUGGCGGCAUGCCUAACACAUGCAAGUCGAACGAGACCUUCGGGUCUAGUGGCGCACGGGUGCGUAACGCGUGGGAAUCUGCCCUUGGGUUCGGGAUAACAGUUGGAAACGACUGCUAAUACCGGAUGAUGACUUCGGUCCAAAGAUUUAUCGCCCAGGGAUGAGCCCGCGUCGGAUUAGCUAGUUGGUGAG